rnacentral:tRNA from 1 species
GGUUCCGUGGUGCAGUUGGUUAGCGCAUCGUACUAAUACUUUGCCAUACGGCGAAAUACAUGCGAAAGUCGAGGGUUCGAGCCCCUCCGGGACCA